CUAAUGGAGGCAUCAGUCUAGCCACAUCAGGCAUUUCAUUGGAUGAGAGAUAGUUCAUAUACCCAUCAGGCAGGGGCAUUAGACACGCCCCCUGACGAAGCACAGGCAAAACGUACAUUGGGGUAGGAGCUGGCAGGUUGAGGGUGAUGUAUUGGAGCUUUCCAUAGUGCACCUGAGAGCAGUCUAAUGUCACAGAGAAAGAGCGCAUGCGAAAUGCCUCUGAUGUAGUGGAUUUUACUUGUGUGUCAAGUCCCGAAAUAAAGCUGCAUAUCUCUAUGUGCUGGACCACCGUCUGUUUUCUGGAGAAUUGCUGUGUGCCUAUCCGGGCACAGAUCCAUACACUCUUACGGUGAAGAAAAUGGAUCCUGAAAAUCCCACCACUAGGGGACCCUAUACCUACUGGGACACUAACCAUUCCUGCAGCAGCAUCAGGCUUGUCUAGGAGUCAUGGAGAAGAGAUAAUUCAUGGACAAGGCUGCCUGAGCAGACAGACAGUGUAUGGCUGGAGGCUGUAUACCUGUGUUCGGCCCCACUUCAGUGGUCCAACCACUGCUCCUCUGGUCCGGACAUAGCAGUAAGUCCCGGGACCGAAGUAGCUGCUCCAUGCUCCGUCGCUGCUCGCUCCUCCAUGCUCCGUCGCUGCUCGCUCCUCCAUGCUCUGUUGCUAUGGGCGCACGCACUUGACGUCAGUGAAGUCCCUGCAUGCACCACCUUCCCGGCAGCCCCUGCGUUUUCAAAGUAAACGCUAGGCCGCCGAGAGCGCAUCUCUGUGUCCCGAAAACCUCUUUCAGGACUCAGGGAUGUCCUUUGGCAGCGAUGGGCGGGAUAAAGGUCCUCGGCGGGCCGCAUGUGGCCCGCUGGCCGUAGUUUGAGGACCCCUGAUUUAAACUAUGUAAGACCCAUUCAGUAAAUGUUUCUU